rnacentral:rRNA from 1 species
AGAGUUUGAUCCUGGCUCAGAUUGAACGCUGGCGGCAUGCCUAACACAUGCAAGUCGAACGGCAGCGCGGACUUCGGUCUGGCGGCGAGUGGCGGACGGGUGAGGAAUGCAUCGGAAUCUGCCCCGACGUGGGGGAUAACCUGGGGAAACCCAGGCUAAUACCGCAUACGUCCUGAGGGAGAAAGCGGGGGACCUUUCGGGGCCUCGCGCGGCGGGAUGAGCCGAUGCCGGAUUAGCUGGUUGGUGGGGUAAUGGCUCACCAAGGCGACGAUCCGUAGCUGGUCUGAGAGGAUGAUCAGCCACACCGGGACUGAGACACGGCCCGGACUCCUACGGGAGGCAGCAGUGGGGAAUAUUGGACAAUGGGGGCAACCCUGAUCCAGCAAUGCCGCGUGUGUGAAGAAGGCCUUCGGGUUGUAAAGCACUUUUAUCAGGAAAGAAAUCCCACGGGUUAAUAGCCUGUUGGGGAUGACGGUACCUGAGGAAUAAGCACCGGCUAACUUCGUGCCAGCAGCCGCGGUAAUACGAAGGGUGCAAGCGUUAAUCGGAAUUACUGGGCGUAAAGGGUGCGUAGGCGGCCUGUUAAGUCGGAUGUGAAAGCCCUGGGCUCAACCUGGGAAUGGCAUUUGAUACUGGCGGGCUGGAGUGCGGUAGAGGAUGGUGGAAUUCCCGGUGUAGCGGUGAAAUGCGUAGAGAUCGGGAGGAACAUCGAUGGCGAAGGCAGCCAUCUGGACCAGCACUGACGCUGAGGCACGAAAGCGUGGGGAGCCAAACAGGAUUAGAUACCCUGGUAGUCCACGCCCUAAACGAUGCGAACUGGAUGUUGGGUCCACUUGAGGAUUCAGUAUCGAAGCUAACGCGUUAAGUUCGCCGCCUGGGGAGUACGGUCGCAAGACUGAAACUCAAAGGAAUUGACGGGGGCCCGCACAAGCGGUGGAGUAUGUGGUUUAAUUCGAUGCAACGCGAAGAACCUUACCUGGCCUUGACAUGUCCGGAAUCCUGCAGAGAUGCGGGAGUGCCUUCGGGAAUCGGAACACAGGUGCUGCAUGGCUGUCGUCAGCUCGUGUCGUGAGAUGUUGGGUUAAGUCCCGCAACGAGCGCAACCCUUGUCCUUAGUUGCCAGCACGUAAUGGUGGGAACUCUAGGGAGACCGCCGGUGACAAACCGGAGGAAGGUGGGGAUGACGUCAAGUCAUCAUGGCCCUUACGGCCAGGGCUACACACGUACUACAAUGGGGCGUACAGAGGGUUGCCAAGCCGCGAGGUGGAGCCAAUCCCAGAAAACGUCUCUCAGUCCGGAUCGCAGUCUGCAACUCGACUGCGUGAAGUCGGAAUCGCUAGUAAUCGCGGAUCAGCAAUGCCGCGGUGAAUACGUUCCCGGGCCUUGUACACACCGCCCGUCACACCAUGGGAGUGGNCUGCUCCAGAAGCCGUUAGCCUAACCGCAAGGAGGGCGACGACCACGGAGUGGUUCAUGACUGGGGUGAAGUCGUAACAAGGUAACC